GUAAUCGCGAAUCAGCAUGUCGCGGUGAAUACGUUCCCGGGUCUUGUACACACCGCCCGUCACACCAUGGGAGUCAGUAACGCCCGAAGUCAGUGACCUAACCUUAGGGGAGGAGCUGCCGAAGGCGGGACGGAUAACUGGGGUGAAGUCGUAACAAGGUAGCCGUAUCGGAAGGUGCGGCUGGAUCACCUCCUUCUAAGGAA
rnacentral:rRNA from 1 species